rnacentral:rRNA from 1 species
CAGUUCGGAUUGUAGUCUGCAACUCGACUACAUGAAGCUGGAAUCGCUAGUAAUCGCGGAUCAGAAUGCCGCGGUGAAUACGUUCCCGGGUCUUGUACACACCGCCCGUCACACCAUGGGAGUCGAUAACGCCCGAAGUCAGUGACCCAACCUGUAAGGAGGGAGCUGCCGAAGGCGGGAUUGAUAACUGGGGUGAAGUCGUAACAAGGUAGC